rnacentral:rRNA from 1 species
GGCGAACGCUGGCGGCGUGCUUAACACAUGCAAGUCGAGCGGUAAGGCCUUUCGGGGUACACGAGCGGCGAACGGGUGAGUAACACGUGGGUGAUCUGCCCUGCACUUCGGGAUAAGGCUGGGAAACUGGGUCUAAUACCGGAUAUGACCUCCUAUCGCAUGGUGGGUGGGGGAAAGAUUUAUCGGUGCAGGAUGGGCCCGCGGCCUAUCAGCUUGUUGGUGGGGUAAUGGCCUCCCAAGGCGACGACGGGUAGCCCACCUGAGAGGGUGACCGGCCACACUGGGACUGAGAGACGGACCAGACUCCUACGGGAGGCAGCAGUGGGGAAUAUUGCACAAUGGGCGAAAGCCUGAUGCAGCGACGCCGCGUGAGGGAUGACGGCCUUCGGGUUGUAAACCUCUUUCAGCAGGGACGAAGCGCAAGUGACGGUACCUGCAGAAGAAGCACCGGCUAACUACGUG